UUAAUGGAUGUAGUUUGAACAAUGAAAUGUCUAUUGUUUGAUUAAUUGUUUAUUUAAGUAACUAAAGAAUUAUUUGGUUUUAGUAGAUUUAUUGAACUAAUAUUUUUAGAUAUAGGGAAGUAGUAUUGUGAAAGAAUUUUUUGAAUAAUUAAAAAGAAAGAAUAAUUUUUUGUACCUUGUGUAUCAGGGUUUAUUAAAAAAAUAUUAAGAUUUUAAUUUUCUCGAAUUUGGAAGAGCUAUUUAGUUAUAUUUUUUAUUGUGGCAAUAAUAUUGUUAAUAAUUAAAUUGUAGUGAAAUGCUAAUCGAUUUCAAAUAUAUCUAGUUUUUAAAGAAAAAAAUUUAAUUUUUUUCCGUUUAUUAUGAUAAUUUUUAGUUUUUAAAAUUAUUUUUGGCGGGGGCAAUAAUUUAGGGGUUGAGCUUUAGGUUAAAUUUAUAAAACAGGACUUUUUGAUUAAGCAAAAUUGGUAGGAUUUGAAGUUUCUGCCUUGGAGUGAGUUAUAUCUUGAUUUAUUUAGAUUAGGAUUUUUUAUAUUUGUUUAUGUUUUUUAUUUAAAUAUAUGUUUUAAUUUGGAUUAUUUAGGAAUAAUGAUAGAAUUAGUAUAAUUUUGUUUCUUUGUUGAAAGGAAUUUAAGGUUUAUCAAAGGAAUUCGGCAAAAAUAUGUUCUCACCUGUUUAUUAAAAACAUGGCCUUUCGCUUAUAAUUUAAGGUCUGGCCUGCCCAAUGAGUUUUGAAUGGCCGCGGUAUAUUGACCGUGCAAAGGUAGCAUAAUCAUUAGUUUUUUAAUUGAAAGCUUGUAUGAAAGGUUGAAUGAGGAACUAGCUGUCUCUGUUAAAAUUUAAUAGAAUUUUAUUAGUAUGUAAAAAGGCAUAUAUGUGUAUAAAAGACGAGAAGACCCUAUAGAGUUUUAUAAUUUAAGUGGAAAGGACAAUUGGAAUAUUUAAUUUUAUUUGUUUGAAUUAUUUAGUUGGGGUGAUUGGAUAAUUUAAUAAACUUUUCUUUAUUAUUAUGCACUGAUAGGUGGAUAAUUGAUCCUUUGGGAAGAUUAAAAGAAAAAAUUACCUUAGGGAUAACAGCGUUAUUUUUCUAGAGAGUUCUUAUCGAAAGAAGAGUUUGCGACCUCGAUGUUGGAUUAAAAUUAAGGUUUGGUGAAGAAGCUGAACUUUUAGGUCUGUUCGACCUUUAAAAUUUUACAUGAUCUGAGUUUAAACCGGCGUGAGCCAGGUUGGCUUCUAUCUUUAUUAUUUUAAUAUUUUUUAGUACGAAAGGACCAAAAAUUUGCUAGAAUAGUUUAAUGUUGAAUAUUAUUGUUGCUUUGACAGAAUAGUGUGAUAGAUUUAGAAUCUUUUUAUGUAAUUUAUUGGUAAUUAC
rnacentral:rRNA from 1 species